rnacentral:hammerhead_ribozyme from 1 species
AUCCAGCUGGCGAGUCCCGAAUAGGAUGAUACGCGCGUCCUGGAU